UAUGGGAAAGCUGUCCAGGGGAUGGUUUAUGUGAGCCUUUGUCAGAAGACAUCCCAGUUCUUGCCCAGUGCUUCUAAACCUGAUCUCUGUCAGGAAUUCAACAACCAGACAGACAAGAUGGGUUGCUUCUUCACAAAUGUGACCCUAUCCUUCAGCCGAGACUUGAGGUACUAUCGGGACAGCAUAGUUGCAGAGGCCUCACUGUUGGAGGAUGGCACAGGUAAUUCUGGAAAUAUCUCUGGGAAGAUGCAUGGGAAGAUACACUAAUCGUAGCAAGAAUGCCACAGACUUUCAGACUAGCAAGAGCUCUGAGGUUUUUGAGCCCAUUGAGGCCUGCCGUCUAACCUCAUGGAUAUUGUCAGAGCCAGAGAUUCCUGAAGGCAUGACACACUCAGAAUGUCUGUGGUCUAAUCUCACAUCGUAAAGCUUAGGGACCUUUCUAAGGGAUAGAAGAUAAUGUGAAGGAGACCAGAUAUCCAGAGCCUUGGACAAGUCAUCUCCUUAGUAUGAAAUAUAUAUGCACAUGUACAUCAGUAUUACUGAUGAUGUUAUUCUACAGGCAAAUUGCUGACAGGUUCUUGGUUUCCCUGAUUUCCUCCCUUAUGUUUCUGUCUACUGCUUUCAUUCAGAGAUUCAGGUCAAUGCUUCCCACAAAUUACUCAUCUCCAAGAUUGGCGGGAUGGCCUUGUUUGAUGAUGUGAAUUCUUACUAUCACACUGGAGAGAUGUACAGAGGGAAGGUAAUUCCCAGUUAUGGUCUUUUGGAGAAGACAGCAUGAGAAAUGCCUUCACAGAGUCUGCUUUUCCAACCCCAUCUCUAGCAAGGGCUGGAAUAUUCAAAAGUGAGAAAAACAUCCAAGACCUUCAUUUGCCAAAUAAACCUUGAGUAAUAAUAGCUCUGGGCAUGCACUGGGGGAUGUAAACCCAAGCACUGGGAAUUUCAGCAGCCAGGAGGCCUUUUGCAAUGAAGGGGUAAAGAGUAUUGGGAUUUUGUCCGUGCCUAAAUGUGAUAAUGGGAGGUUACUGGUAGCAGAGUUGUUAGGGAUUGGAAGGGUGACCUUCCUCCUAAAAUACUGCAGAAAUUCUGCUACUGGGUUGGAGGAGAUUAUGUCCACUAAACAGUCUUCUAUGCUUCUAUCAAUCACCAUGGUAUUCUCAGAUCAAAGUCAUUGACUACAAAGGCGAGACGCUGAAGUACAAAAAAGUCCUCCUUGUAGUGAGUUUUGGUGAGCAGCAGUUUCAGCAAAAGUACAUCACUGGAGACACUGGAACAGCUUCAUUUAGCCUAAACACAACUACUUGGAACAGCACCUCAGCCUCCCUGGAGGCAAGUGUCCUGCAUCAAGAUUUGGAUGGAGAGCCUGAGACAGUUGAUUUGAAUUACCAGAGAGCCUUUCAUUUCAUACGUCCAUUCUACAGCACCAGCAGGAGUUUUCUCAGUAUUGUCCGUGUGCCAGAUAUGAUGCCCUGUGGUAAAAAGCAGACUAUCCAGGUGGACUUCAGAAUUUACCAGGAAGACCUGGAACAUGGACCCAAGCGUGUAAUUUUCUCCUACCUUGUGAGUUUUUGAAGAAAUGCUAGUAGUGAUGUCUCAAGACAUGAUAUCAGAAUCCUCCACAGGUUCAAACCUGAUACUGGAUAGCUUUGGCUUGGCAGUUUGACAGUUAGCUCAUCCAGCCAUCAUGGGGCUGGAUCCUGGUUUUAAUUCUGGGACUGCAGUAGGAGCAUGAAAGGCAGCACCUUUCUUUUGAACUCUGCACAGAUGCAGGACAGGUAUUGACCUUAUCUAUCCUCCAGCAAGUCUCUCGAACUUUUCACGUUGCCUGAGUGUGAGUAAUGCUCCUAUUCCCCUCACGUAUCCCAUUUAACGUCCAAUCUCAGGAAUACACUGGUCUGCAUAGUGGUCUCAAAGACUAUGUGACUGGCGUUCCCUUCCCUUUUUUAUUCUUUCUUAGGUCACGGGGAAAAGUGGAAUAGUUCAGGCAGGUCAGAAGACUGUUUGGGUUGGGCUGC